AGAGCUACACAAUGAGUUGGCAGGGUGUAAGCUUCAAGGACAGCACGAAGCCUGUUCUACUCAAGAUCAUGAGGCUCGUUCUACUACGAUUUUACCGACAGAAGAAGCUUUGCUGGGCUGGAGAAUCACUAUCAUGAGCACUGCAAGAAAAUUUGAGUGGUCUCUGUGGACGCCAUUGACUGAGAGAGGAUCCGGUAAAAAUCUGCAGAGAUAAUGAAAAGGUUCUGGUGAGGAAUCAUGCCCCUUGAAUUUCCUGGACUUCCAAGACACAUCCAUGUGCAACGUACCAUACUAUAAUGCUUAAAAUAUAAAAUGGCAGCACUUAGCAGAAAUGUCGUGGCAUAGUACCUAUUCAAUGUCAAAGUGACAGUGCAGAAGUAUGCCCUGCAUUUUAUCUAAUAUGUAUUAAAAAAUGAAAUAAUCUAUAAGAUUAAAUCUUAUAUAUGACAUAUUCUACAUGAAAAAAGAGCACAGUUACAGAACUACCUGGAGGCAACUGGUGGUAACAUUCCAGAUUCUUGACAAAUGAUUCUUCAUAUUUCAGGAAUUACCACCUACAUCCUAAUGAGAAGUAAACAUAGAUUUAAUGCCACUUUUGAACUCUUCCAGACCUCCGUUGAUUUGGGUAAGGGCAAAUCUCCUCACAUAAGUUAGAGAGGUUGCACAGAUUUGCAGUUUACAACAAGGAGAAGUGUAUUAGAUUAAAUUAGAAUGGAAGAAUAUAAAAUAAUUGUAGAAGUAAAAAUUUUCAGAAAGAAACAUACGAUGUUGCAUGCUCUCAAGACUUAUGGAAGAAAGAGAUAAAGGGCAGACUACCCACUGUCUAGACAAAAUCUUCAUAAAAUUUUUCAAUUGCCAAUGACCUUUAAGCAACAGGAUCACAAAGACCAAUGUGUUCACAGUUCUGUUGUUCAAAUGGGUUGGCAGCUGACAUUCUACAGUUUUAUGGCAACUCAAUGCAGUCAUAUGCAGGCACAACCACUCUAGGACAUAUACUGUCUCAUGGUCCAGGUAUAUCAUCUUUAAUUUUGCAUUUUUCCUGUCAUUCUAUUCCUACUUGACCAUUCCUGGUAGUCUUUACUGGCUUGUUUCAUGCAAAGUGAGUGGAAGAUUACAGUGUUCCCUCUAACUUAUAUUGAAUUUUAUAUUGCUGUUGUAAACAAAAAGGGAAGUUCAAGAAAUUCUACAAGCUUAAAUAUUGUGGAAUAAAGGUUCAGAUGGACUGAGAUUUCUGAAACU
rnacentral:lncRNA from 7 species